rnacentral:rRNA from 1 species
GCCUGAUGCAGCAACGCCGCGUGAGGGACGACGGCCUACGGGUUGUAAACCUCUUUUAGCAGGGAAGAAGCGAAAGUGACGGUACCUGCAGAAAAAGCACCGGCUAACUACGUGCCAGCAGCCGCGGUAAUACGUAGGGUGCAAGCGUUGUCCGGAAUUAUUGGGCGUAAAGAGCUCGUAGGCGGUUUGUCGCGUCUGCUGUGAAAUCCCGAGGCUCAACCUCGGGCCUGCAGUGGGUACGGGCAGACUAGAGUGCGGUAGGGGAGAUUGGAAUUCCUGGUGUAGCGGUGGAAUGCGCAGAUAUCAGGAGGAACACCGAUGGCGAAGGCAGAUCUCUGGGCCGUAACUGACGCUGAGGAGCGAAAGCGUGGGGAGCGAACAGGAUUAGAUACCCUGGUAGUCCACGCCGUAAACGUUGGGAACUAGAUGUGGGGACCAUUCCACGGUCUCCGUGUCGCAGCUAACGCAUUAAGUUCCCCGCCUGGGGAGUACGGCCGCAAGGCUAAAACUCAAAGGAAUUGACGGGGGCCCGCACAAGCGGCGGAGCAUGCGGAUUAAUUCGAUGCAACGCGAAGAACCUUACCAAGGCUUGACAUAUACGAGAACGGGCCAGAAAUGGUCAACUCUUUGGA